UACGUAGGGGGCGAGCGUUGUCCGGAUUUAUUGGGCGUAAAGAGCUCGUAGGCGGUUUGGUAAGUUGGAUGUGAAAUCUCCAGGCUCAACUUGGAGGGGUCAUUCGAUACUGCCAUGACUAGAGUUCGGUAGGGGAGUGUGGAAUUCCUGGUGGAGCGGUGAAAUGCGCAGAUAUCGGGAGGAACACCUGUGGCGAAAGCGGCGCACUGGACCACAUCUGACGCUGAGGCGCGAAAGCUAGGGGAGCAAACAGG
rnacentral:rRNA from 1 species